AGAAAGAUAAGCUAAGUUUAAGCUAAAGGUCUCAUAAACCUUCAAUGGUUAAUCCUCUUUCAA
rnacentral:tRNA from 1 species